GGUCUAGAUGGCGUCGCUGGGUUAGAGGAAAACGGCCCUGGUCGAGCCGCCCCGCCCUCUCACCUCGGGUUGUGGCUUAGGUUCAGCGCGAUCCAGGGUACGAAGCGGUACUUGUAACGACGCCAUCGCUGCCAGAGGCCGCGCAGCAGGCGGCCCGGCAUGGGUGUCCUGUGGUGCCGUGAUGAGGACGGCACGGGGGAGGCGGGUCUUCUCGGGCCCGCCCCGACCCGAGGAGGAGUAGAGGCCGCGCCGUCCCUCCCCUUUGCGGUCUCAGCACUCAGUGCCGCGCUCGGCGACCCUGGUACCUCCUGGCCUCCUGUCGCCGCGUCUCCGUGCCUCUGCUUUAUUGACCCCAGCUCGCUGAAACAGAGAGUGAAUUAUAAUGACACACUGUCAAAUGUUGCACCAUCCUUGGAUUCCUGAGAUAACCCUACUCAGUUAUGCAGAAAUGGAGGUUCAGAAAGUCAAACAGGGGUUACACGGCUGGCAAGUGGCAGAGCCAGAUUUGACCCAGGUGAUGUCUCAGGCUCUGUGGUCACGAAGUCCAUCAUCAUCACCUACUUUUCCUCCCUUAUGUCAAUUCAA